GUUCUCAGUUCGGAUUGUAGGCUGCAACUCGCCUACAUGAAGUCGGAAUCGCUAGUAAUCGCGGAUCAGCAUGCCGCGGUGAAUACGUUCCCGGGCCUUGUACACACCGCCCGUCACACCAUGAGAGUUUGUAACACCCAAAGCCGGUGGGGUAACCUUUUGGAGCCAGCCAUCUAAGGUGGGACAGAUGAUUGGGGUGAAGUCGUAACAAGGUAUC
rnacentral:rRNA from 1 species